rnacentral:ncRNA from 1 species
AAAUAACUCUUCGGUAAUCAUGAAGCCGUGAAGCCGCGAUUUUAAUGUCUAUUAGGAAAAAUCCCAAUAAACAUAAGCGGACUAAUAAUAAAAAGAGAUUAUUCUCUGAUUUUUUUAUUUAUCGCGAGAGAUUCUACAAGAAGUUUUUAAUAGGAUGAUAUUUAACGCAUUCCCGUUAAUCGUCUGACUACGCUACUCAUCCUUUCCGCCUCAAAUUAACGUUCGUAAAAUCAGCAAAAAACGAGGAUUUUUCGUUCAUAUACCUAACAAGAAAGCCGAUAGUGCGCCGCUAUAUUCGCGCACUAUCGACAUCAGACAGGGGUUAAUUCGGGGUUGAGAAUCAAGAGUUGGGGA